GAACGCUGCAGCGCGUGGCUCUACAGGAUCCUGUCAAAUGCACCGUUUCCUCCAAAUAUGCCACCGUUGAUAAGCUGCAGCAGUAUUACAUCUUCAUCCCAUCCAAGUACAAGGACUGUUAUCUGGUUUCUAUCUUGAAUGAACUGGCUGGGAACUCUUUUCCAUGGUUUUCUGCGGCACGUGUAAUAAUGCCCAGCGGGUGGCGCUCUUGCUCAGAAACCUGGGCAUCACGGCCAUCCCUCUCCACGGACAGAUGAGUCAGAACAAGCGUCUCGGUGGCUCUUAACAAGUUCAAGUCCAAGUCUCGCUCAGUCCUGCUGGCCACAGACGUGGCGUCUCGAGGCCUGGACAUCCCCACAUGUGGACUGCGUCAUCAACUUCGACAUCCCCACACACUCCAAGGACUACAUCCAUCGGUAGGCCGCACCGCCAG